GCCACGAGAAGCUAACAAGCAUUGGUCUUGUAAAUCAAAGAUAAGAAUCCCAAAUUUCUCCGUGGCA
rnacentral:tRNA from 1 species